ACUUUAUCUUGUCUUUAUAUUAUUAGAAUUGUUAAUCUGCUUUGCUUAGCCCAAGUACAAAUACAGUAGACCGAAGCUGAGAAUAUCCUGUCACACUCCAAGAUAAAAGCUUGAAACCGUGAUGUGGGACCAGUGCAUUGAUGUCUUCAGAGAGCCUGAAACAAAAGCUCUGAGAGAUGAGAAUUGCUCCAUGGAUCUCACUGAGACAAUGUCACCAAGUUACCUGCUCUGUUCACAUGCUUCUGCAGAGGCUGCCUUGCGCCUCCUUGAAACAGAAAAUCCAAUGUGCCCAUUUAUGUAAUAAGGAAGGACUGGUGGGACAGCAGAGAAUGAGGUCAGUUAAAAUCAAGCAGCAAGUUCACUCCACAGACCAGUGUUUACAAACAUGGGAAAGGAAGGAGCAAAAGAAAUUCAGAGUACAAUCGACUUGUAAAAAUUCCUAUUAAAAAACUGCAAAGCAAAAAACCAAAAAACUGACAUACUGAACUAAAGCCCGGCUCAAUACAUCCCCUUCUAUUAAUGGAUUAAAGAGCACUGCAGAACAUGCUUCUACCCCGAUGCUACUUAAAACCCAUCAUGCUAAUCAACCUUUUAUGAAAACCAGCACAGAGUUGACCUGAAAUACUUAGUUCACAAGUUUAUUAUGAAAAAACACUGCAGUACUCUCCUGCAGUAACAUCAUUUUACAGGAAAAAAACAGUUCUGUUCAAAAUAACUCACUAUGCUUGGACAAUUACAAAGGACAAUGAAGGAGGCAGAAUGGGGAGGAAGAAAAUGAGUGAGACAAAAAUCAAUACAAUUAAAUUAAACAGUAUUCCCU